rnacentral:sRNA from 1 species
CCUGCCCCCGUGCCGACGUCCGGCUCCACCACCGGGCAGGAGCGGGGGACCCACCACCGGGGCGAGCGUGCUCGCUCCUCGGGGUGAAGUCCUCCAGGUCGUCGCUCGCGCGGCGUCCUGCUGGGCCGGGUGUCCUCCACCCGAACCCGACAGCUCACCUCGUAGGCAUCGAGAGGCACC